ensembl:snRNA U6 U6 spliceosomal RNA
GCCGGCUCUGGCCGCAUGGAUACUAAAACUGGAAGGAUAAAGAGAAAAUCAGCAUGGCCCCUGCGCAAGGAUGACACGGAACAGGACUCACAAUUCA